AUCCGACUGUCCAUUAAAUCAAAUUAAACUAAAUACUAUUGACAGAAUUAUAUUAAUACUUCAUUACCUUAAAGCAUCAUUUAAACACGCAUUUGAGUUGAUUACAAUAUUUUAAUUUCUGUAUCGGUGCCUUCCAUUGAAUGGGCACUAGCUGUCAAAUUUGUGUUCGCCGAUUUCACUUAAAUUUUCAUAUUUGAUUUAUAACAAUGUGAUAAUAUACAGCUUCUUUCGUGUGUAUUUAAGUUCAAACGCCAUCUAAAUAACUUUUGAGUUGACGUCCGAAGACUUCUUAUUGUCACUUAAGCGAAAAAACAUAAAUAGAAAUAGAAAGUGAACUUUUGGAAUUACAUUUUUCUAUGUCCGUUGUAUUUAUAUCAGAGAUUAAAACUACGUUAGUCAAAGUUUUUACCUGUAUAAGUAUGGGUUUUUUUGUUGAUCGAAUCAGUUAUCAAAUGAUUUGCUUUUGUUUCAAUUUCAAUGUUGACAUUAUUUUCCUUUAAAAAAAAACUCAUCAUGCACAUUCCAUGUAUUAUUCAUCUCUAGCUGAGGGGUUUAAUUGAAGUUCACAUGAAUAAUGAUUCAAUCAGGUUCAAAAACAAUUGCAAGUUAAAAAUUCAUCAUCCAUGUUUCUUAGCUUUUUUCACAAAAUUGAACCAUACUGUCUGCUAAAUCAAAUUGUUAUUUCACUUGCAUUAAUAUUCAACAAACAAAUCAUAUUUUCGAUUUUUUAUAUAUCUCGUAGCCAGUGUCUCUUUCAGUAAGUUUGGAUUUCUUUUGUUCAAAUAUUACAGGUGAAAAAAGUGGAAAAUAAUAUGUAUAGAUGUAUUUUCACUAUUUUAUCAAAUACUAUAUUAGCCUCUUCUGUUCAACAGCAUAACCUAUAACUCCGGCUGGUUUUAUAAGGGUUGAGGAAGAGUAGGAUGUCGAAGGGAAAAGUUAUUAAAAAUAUUUAUGUUACAAAUAUAUAGCUACAACUUUUGCAUGCAUAGAAAAUAGUCAAGA
rnacentral:lncRNA from 1 species